rnacentral:rRNA from 1 species
CCUACGGGAGGCAGCAGUGGGGAAUAUUGCACAAUGGAGGGAACUCUGAUGCAGCGACGCCGCGUGAGUGAAGAAGUAAUUCGUUAUGUAAAGCUCUAUCAGCAGGGAAGAAAGUGACGGUACCUGAAAAAGAAGCUCCGGCUAAAUACGUGCCAGCAGCCGCGGUAAUACGUAUGGAGCAAGCGUUAUCCGGAUUUACUGGGUGUAAAGGGAGAGUAGGUGGUAUGUCAAGUCUGAUGUUAAAGCCCGGGGCUCAACUCCGGUUCGGCAUUGGAUACUGGCAAACUAGAAUGUGGUAGAGGUAAAGGGAAUUCCUGGUGUAGCGGUGAAAUGCGUAGAUAUCAGGAGGAACAUCGGUGGCGAAAGCGCUUUACUGGACCAUUAUUGACGCUGAGGAACGAAAGCCAGGGGAGCAAAUGGGAUUAGAUACCCCGGUAGUC